AUACUCUGGUUUCUCUUCAGAUCGAUUAAAUCUUUCGCCUUUUACUAAAGAUUUCCAUGGAGAGGAACAACAUGAGUUUCAAUGGUUUUAUCUAUGUUAUUUUAACAAAUUUUGUAAU